rnacentral:rRNA from 1 species
UGGCGGACGGGUGAGUAAUGUCUGGGAAACUGCCUGAUGGAGGGGGAUAACUACUGGAAACGGUAGCUAAUACCGCAUAACGUCGCAAGACCAAAGAGGGGGACCUUCGGGCCUCUUGCCAUCAGAUGUGCCCAGAUGGGAUUAGCUAGUAGGUGGGGUAACGGCUCACCUAGGCGACGAUCCCUAGCUGGUCUGAGAGGAUGACCAGCCACACUGGAACUGAGACACGGUCCAGACUCCUACGGGAGGCAGCAGUGGGGAAUAUUGCACAAUGGGCCCAAGCCUGAUGCAGCCAUGCCGCGUGUAUGAAGAAGGCCUUCGGGUUGUAAAGUACUUUCAUCGGGGAAGAAGGUGUUGUGGUUUAUAACCGCCACAAUUGAC